GAUGAACGCUGGCGGCGUGCCUAAUACAUGCCAGUCGAGCGAACAGACGAGGAGCUUGCUCCUCUGACGUUAGCGGCGGACGGGUGAGUAACACGUGGAUAACCUACCUAUAAGACUGGGAUAACUUCGGGAAACCGGAGCUAAUACCGGAUAAUAUAUUGAACCGCAUGGUUCAAUAGUGAAAGACGGCUUUGCUGUCACUUAUAGAUGGAUCCGCGCCGCAUUAGCUAGUUGGUAAGGUAACGGCUUACCAAGGCAACGAUGCGUAGCCGACCUGAGAGGGUGAUCGGCCACACUGGAACUGAGACACGGUCCAGACUCCUACGGGAGGCAGCAGUAGGGAAUCUUCCGCAAUGGGCGAAAGCUUGACGGAGCAACGCCGCGUGAGUGAUGAAGGUCUUCGGAUCGUAAAACUCUGUUAUUAGGGAAGAACAAAUGUGUAAGUAACUAUGCACGUCUUGACGGUACCUAAUCAGAAAGCCACGGCUAACUACGUG
rnacentral:rRNA from 1 species